rnacentral:miRNA from 1 species
AACAACCUCAUUGAUUGGAAGAAAUUCCUUCCAGCCGAUGAGGUAUAAAAACCUCAUCAAUUAGAAGGGAUUUCUUCCGUCAAUGAGGAUGUU